rnacentral:rRNA from 1 species
AUUGAACGCCGGCGGCAUGCCUUACACAUGCAAGUCGAACGGCAGCACGGGGGCAACCCUGGUGGCGAGUGGCGAACGGGUGAGUAACGCAUCGGAACGUGCCCAGUAGUGGGGGAUAACCAGUCGAAAGACUGGCUAAUACCGCAUACGACCUACGGGUGAAAGCGGGGGACCGUAAGGCCUCCCGCUAUUGGAGCGGCCGAUGUCUGAUUAGGUAGUUGGCGGGGUACGAUCCCACCAAGGCGACGAUCAGUAGCUCGUCUGAGAGGACGGCAGGCCACAAGAGGACUGAGGAGCGGCCCAGAGUCCUACGGGAGGCAGGAGUGGGGAAUUUUGGACAAUGGGCGCAAGCCUGAUCCGGCCAUGCCGCGUGAGGGAAGAAGGCCUUCGGGUGGUAAACCGCUUUUGGCAGGAACGAAAAGGCGCAAGCCAAUACCUUGCGCUAAUGACGGUACCUGCAGAAUAAGCACCGGCUAACUACGUGCCAGCCGCCGCAGUAACAC